ACUCCUGCUAGACCCACAGCCUGAAAAUUUAACGUUACUUUAACUUGUACAAUUAUACACUCAACAUAGAGAGAAUAAAGGAACGAUUAGAAGGGUCAACCAGGGUCCUUUUUAGAUAGGAUACCGUUACUUGUAUUGAAAUGCUAGUCCCGUUCCAGCUAGAACGUACAUAGUUUCUACAUUCCUAGGUAAAAAAUAUCUGUAAGUAAUGUUUAUGGAAUUUUAUUUAUUUAUUUAGAUUAAAAUCUAGUUAUGAAUGGAUCACUGUUGGUGUGAAGCAAAUGUUGCCGAUAUAAACGAUGCAUUGUGCGGCGUGAAUCGUCCUUUUCCUACUUUGUCGUAAAAAUAUACCUGACCUUUUUGGCCCUAUUGAAACAGACAAAGCGUGGAACGAGUAUGUUGGUUUAUGGCUUAUGCACCAUUCACAAUAUGGAUAAAUAAUGAUGUAUUCUUGUGAAACAGACGAACCAGGACAGGACGCGCCCCUUUUUCAACGGCCUGUCCACCAGAUGUGUGCACAUUCAUGCAAACUGCACUUGGAUUUUCCCAUUCUCCUCUUUUCUAUAGAAGCAUUUCUUUUAAGAAUAGGUACUCGCUCAAAAAUAAAUUCUUUUUAAUUAAAAAAGUAGAUAGUAGAUGAAACGUUACUAUAAAAUAAAGCUUCAAUUUUUCAUUGUUUUUAUACAACUUCUCUACAUAUAGAGAAGUUAAUGAUGGACUUUGAAAAAUGUGUUAACGAAACUAGGCUAACUCCAUCCCGGCCAAGUGCAGUAUCUUUUUGUAAACUUGAAAACAACCCAUUACUUAUAUGUUUCACCGUUGCAGUUGGACUGGUGUUUACACGAAGAACGAUGGCUUCCAGGAUUGAAGGUUCAGUGGGUUAAGCUAGCAGAACCACUCAAUGUCUGAAUCCCGAUGGAGGCGUGCCUUUAAACAGAGGACUUCCUGUAUUCUGAACGCGUCUCUCGUAUAGUUCGACUUGUGAAUGCUAAUGUAAGAAGCAGAUGCAAGAACUCGGGAAGAUCGGUUGAGUCAACCAGAUUCUUCUCUAAUGCAAGUCAGACGUGGACUGUAUUUAAUGGCAUGACUACUUUCGCAUUUCUCUACGAUUUAAUAAGGUAAAAGUACCGUUUACAUUUCAAACUGAUCGGUGAAUUCGAAUAUGACUUCGGUACUAUAUUUGCAUAUUACGCAAGUCAUAACUAGUUUAAAACCAUAUUUUAUAUUUUAAUUUAAUUUUAAUUUUUUGAAUUAUUCAACGUAGUUAUGAUAAAAUAAAAUCAGCUUAUGAUUUGAUAAAUUUUAAUAUAGCUUUUAAACACGGUGAUAUUUACUCGAAUAAAGCAAUACCCACGUUUAUUAAAGAUUAACAGUUUAAACGACUAAGAUUAAAGUUAUGAAACGAGAAAUUAGACGCUUGUUAACAUCUGUACAUUUCGUAUCGUGCAAGAGUGCACAGGCAUGUUACUGUUACCGGUAAUAGUCAGUAUAAAUACGCUCAUCGUCAGUUUGAUGUCAGAUUCUGUUUCUGAACUAUGAUUUCACGUCUGAACGACGAAAAUAAGCGCCGAAGAAUGCGGUCUUAUGGCUUUUCUCUGAAAUUAUCCGACGACACUCUUGUACCGUGCCAAAUAUGCCAAGUUCAACUCUGUUGGUAUUUAUUUUUAAAAAUAACGCUACAAUCUGUUGGAACGACCGUGUUUAUUAUAUUCAGAUAAUGAUCAACAUCCAUCGAUUUUCCAGCAAGUUUGUUAACGAUGCAAUACGUAACAUGGAUACAGUUGCAAGGGAUAGAAAACUGGGCCGCAGUGUAGGAUGCAAAAGCUCGUAGGAAGAACAUAUUCGUUCUCUGACUGGAAAUCUAUAAUUAAACGCACUUAUUCGCUGUUGAACAUUUCACAAACUAAACGUGCAGCUGACAUAAGCACUAUUGUUAAUCCGUUAGUAAAAUGGUAAUGUAUUUAAAAUAAUCCAGCUGCCGUAGUUUCAACGCAAAGACAGUGCCGGCCCUGAGAUUUCUCGGGUCUAAGGUAAGCUCCGAAAAAGGGUCCCUUAAGUAGUUCAAAUAAAAUUGAUAAAAAAAUUAAUAUUGAAGCUUGUAGUCUGCCUAGGCCCAGGGCUGACCCUGCGCAAAGAACAAUUCUGAGUUCAUCCCCUCAGUUGCUAAUUUUUACAAAUGAAUAUCUUUGGCUAAUGUUCGGUUAAUGAAAAGAAAAGCUCGUGUUAAAAUUAUCAUCGUGAAUUAUUGAAAUUUAGGGCAGAUAGCAAUUAAUGCGUGAUAUACGCACUACCCAGAUGCAAUCGAUUCAGCCGCCCUCUCGGAUUACUGCGCUUCGUACCGGAAGGCCAUGGUGUUAAUUAAGGAAAACAUAUUAACUAUGGAUAUUUUUCCUAAUCAAGCACUUGGAUGAACGUUCAUAGGAAAAUCUUUUAACUAAUCAUUAAGCCUGAACAAAGUUGAUAAUCUCGCGUAGAGACAGAGAUUUUCAAAGAUAAGGAAAAUGAAUUUGAAAAAAAAAUGCAUACACCCAGAUACAAUCGAUUCAGCUACGCUAGAAUUACAUGCACGCUAGAUACUAAACAAAGUAUCGAAUUUAAAAAGAAAAUCCCGAAACUUCGGGUCUUUGAUCCUUAUCACUUGAUGUUUUAUAAAUCUGUUGAAAAAUAAGUUUUGGACAAAAAUGAAAUGCAUGAAACGUGAAAGAUAAUAUAAUAGUAUAAUUUAUAGCAUUUUUAAGUAAAUUGGGUGUCGCUAGGGAAAUGCAAUUACAGAGUACAUAUAUCGAGCGAGAUUGAUGCUGAUACUAAAAUUGUUUAUUUCCUUUCGUUAUCAGCCCCCUUUUCCUGAAGUGUCUUUUCGAUUUAAUGUAUUAUCAUUUAUUUUUAUAAUGCUAUGUAUUUUUACGUGCAGCAUUAGUCAAAUAUUUGUAUAAUACUCAGUCAAAUAUAUUAUAUGUAUACGUAUUUCUGCUGAUGUACGCUAUACAUGUAUCGUAUAAAUAGUGCUCGAGUUUAUUGAACCAAAUUAUGCUUAUUUAUUGCACAAUUCGUAUACAUACUUAAUAUCGCAUUUCCAUUGUGAAUAAAAAUAUCCUUUAAUAAUUAAA